rnacentral:lncRNA from 1 species
GAGUUCCUAAGGCCGCCUGCGGCCCGGCAAUUACCCCCUGGGUCCUCUCACACUUAGCAGUGGGUGUCAGAUGGUGGAAGGGAACGCUCAGGGAGGCCCCGGGCGGUGAGUUGUCCCUCGGGCGGGGACGCCCUCGUGGGCAGUGCGGCGUGGACGGCGCAAGGAAGAACCCGGAGAGAUCCCAAGCCACGAGGCACCGCUUCCGGCGCAUUGUGAGGUCCCACCUUUCCCGCCGCCUGAGGUCGCGGCGGCUGCUCUUUCCCGGAGCAGCGUCCCUGGAGGCGCUGCCAGGGGGUGAGGCACCCACGCGUGCACCGUAUGUACCCCCCAGCGCGGCGCUUAGAACGACUCGCAUGAGUCGCUGCCUUGGGUUGGAACCGGUUACUCCGCCGCUUCGUACUGGACUGCAAAGUAACAAGUACUUCGCCGGGCAGCGGUGCCGACCCCGUGUGCUACGGCGAGAGGUGCUUAGCCUAGAGCCGACGAAAACAUGUCCCCAGGACUCCCUUUCCCUCCCAGACUGCGUCCCACCAGAUGGAGCUUUCCGUCUGUUUUAACCACCAGUGUAUUCCUGAUGCCUGACCCAGGCGCUGAAAUAUUUGUUGAACGAAUAAAUGUGUAGGUUAGGACUGACGACAGUCCGCGAAUUCUGGAACACGGGCUGAUUUUACUUUUGAACAAAUGAUGCACUGGAACUUCCUGACAGAGCUGACCUUUUAUAGGAACAUCAAUGGCAGUCACCGCUGGCAUUUUAGCAAAGGUUGUCUUGGUCAUAAUUUCCCCUUGACUGUGUUUCCAGCCCUUAAUCUAUAUCGGGUGGGACCUGGAAGUCUACCUUCUCGCCACCCCUCGGCAAAAGUUUGAGAAAGUGUUUGAGGCAGAGCCUCCUCUCUCAUAUGCCCUCCAUCUGCGAAUUAGAACGAAUUAUAAGUUCUACGGUGUCACAUAGGGGGUUAGCGGAGAGGAAGAGGGAAAGAAUCAAAUACAGGACGCUGCCUUAACCAAAGUUCUAAACUCUAAAUGUAAUAAUGUGCAUUUGUGAGUCCUCAGGAAGUUUCACAAAGGCUUUCCCUUUUUUCACAGAAUGUCUAGUAGGACUGGUGACUCCGAAUGGGAAAAACACAGGACCUAGACCUGCCCUGUCCAUUAGUGUAGCCCCUUGGCCACUUAGGGCCACUGAGCACUUGAAAUGAGGCUAGUUCGUUUAGGAGGCACUGGAAGUGCAAAAUACGCACGGGUGUCAGUUCGACGAAUGUGAAAUACCUCACUGAUCACUUUUUAUAUUGAUUGCACGUUGAAAUAUUUUGGAUAUAUUGCAGUAAAGAAAAUGUAAGCCGGGCACGGUGUCUCACACCUGUGAUCCAGCACUUUAGGAGGCUGAGGUGGGAGGAUCGCUUGGGCAGGAGUUAGAGACCAGCCUGGGCAAUAUAGGGAAACCCCCGUCUAUACAAAAAGUUAAAAAAAAAAAAAAAAAAAGAAAAAAGAAAAAAAAAUUAGCUGGGCAUGGUAGUUCCUGCCUGUGGUCCCAGUUACUCCGGAGACUGAGGUAGGAGGAUCCCUGGAGUGGGAGGUGGAGGCUGCCGUGAGUCGUCAUCUCACUACUGCACUCCAGCCUGCGUUGACAGAACGAGAUCCUGUCUCAAAAAAAAAAAAAAGAAAAUAUACUAUUAAAAUUAAUUUUACCUGUUUUUUUAAAUGUGACCACUAGAAAAUUUUAAGUUAUAUAUGUGGCCUUCAUUUCCAUUAAAUAGUGCUGAUCUGCA